rnacentral:rRNA from 1 species
GAUGAACGCUGGCGGCGUGCCUAAUACAUGCAAGUCGAGCGAACAGACGAGGAGCUUGCUCCUCUGACGUUAGCGGCGGACGGGUGAGUAACACGUGGAUAACCUACCUAUAAGACUGGGAUAACUUCGGGAAACCGGAGCUAAUACCGGAUAACAUGUUGAACCGCAUGGUUCAACAGUGAAAGACGGUCUUGCUGUCACUUAUAGAUGGAUCCGCGCCGCAUUAGCUAGUUGGUAAGGUAACGGCUUACCAAGGCAACGAUGCGUAGCCGACCUGAGAGGGUGAUCGGCCACACUGGAACUGAGACACGGUCCAGACUCCUACGGGAGGCAGCAGUAGGGAAUCUUCCGCAAUGGGCGAAAUCCUGACGGAGCAACGCCGCGUGAGUGAAGAAGGUCUUCGGAUCGUAAAACUCUGUUAUUAGGGAAGAACAAAUGUGUAAGUAACUAUGCACGCCUUGACGGUACCUAAUCAGAAAGCCACGGCUAACUACGUG